UUGCUUCAGCAGCACAUAUGCUAAAACUGGAACAAUACAGAGAAGAUUAGCAUGGCCCCAGAACAAGGAUGACAUGCAAAUUCAUGAAGUGUUCCAUAUUUUU
rnacentral:snRNA from 1 species